AUGGCCGAGACCAACGGUAACGGCUCCCCGAGUAGUGUGACUACGCCACUGAUGCUCCACGGGCGCGUGGCGAUCGUGACAGGCGGCGCUGGCUGCAUCGGCUCGGUCGUGUCGAAGCACCUCGCAUCCCUAGGCGCGCGCGUGGCGAUCGGCUACGUCGGGGACCCGAAGCCGGCGAAGGAGCUCGUGGGCGGCAUCAACGCCGCGCACGGCGGCGGUCGGGCCAUCGCAGUGAAGGCCGACGUGUCGGACGCAGCGCAGGUCAGGGCGCUGUUCGACGCGGCGGCGGCGGCGUUCGGCGGGAAGCUCCAUGUCUUGGUGACAAUGGCAGCGGUGCUAGACUGCUCGAACCCGAUGCUGGCGGAUAUGAGCGAGGCGUCCUACGACGCCACGUUCGGCAUCAACGCGCGGGGCACUUUCCUGUGCUGCCGGGAGGCGGCGAACCGGCUGGCGCGCGACGGGCGUGGCCGCAUCGUCACGUUCUCGUCGUCGGCGGUCGGGUCACUGCGGCCCGGGUUCACGGCGUACGCUGCCAGCAAGGCGGCGGUGGAGGCGAUGACGAGGAUCCUGGCGCGGGAGCUGCGCGGCACGGGGAUCACCGCCAACGCGGUGGCGCCGGGGCCCACGGCCUCGCCCUUGUUCUACAACGGCAAGACGCCUGAGGAGGCUGAACGGUACAUCGCCGAGGCGCCACUGGGGCGUAUCGGGUUGCCGGGGGACAUCGCACCGCUCGUGGGCUUCCUCGCCAGCGACGCCGGCGGAUGGGUCAACGCCCAGGUCCUGCGCUGCAACGGGGGCUCCAUCUAG
rnacentral:rRNA from 1 species